AGUGAACGCUGGCGGUAGGCCUAACACAUGCAAGUCGAACGGCAGCACAGUAAGAGCUUGCUCUUACGGGUGGCGAGUGGCGGACGGGUGGGGAAUACAUCGGAAUCUACUUUUUCGUGGGGGAUAACGUAGGGAAACUUACGCUAAUACCGCAUACGACCUACGGGUGAAAGCAGGGGAUCUUCGGACCUUGCGCGAUUGAAUGAGCCGAUGCCGGAUUAGCUAGUUGGCGGGGUAAGGGCCCACCAAGGCGACGAUCCGUAGCUGGUCUGAGAGGAUGAUCAGCCACACUGGAACUGAGACACGGUCCAGACUCCUACGGGAGGCAGCAGUGGGGAAUAUUGGACAAUGGGCGCAAGCCUGAUCCAGCCAUACCGCGUGGGUGAAGAAGGCCUUCGGGUUGUAAAGCCCUUUUGUUGGGAAAGAAAAGCAGCAGGUUAAUACCCCGCUGUUCUGACGGUACCCAAAGAAUAAGCACCGGCUAACUUCGUG
rnacentral:rRNA from 1 species